ensembl:lncRNA
GGACGGAGGGCUCUGCCCGUCGGCCCACCACUGUCCCGGGGGCAGUGCUCGCCCCUUGCCCUGUCCCGCUGGGUCCUACACCAGCCUCAGGGGUCAGACCAGCUGCGCCCGCUGCCCAGCUGGUUACUUCUGUCCCGAGAAGACGGGGAACUUCACCUUGUACCCGUGCCCCCCAGGGUACUACUGCCCUGACGGCACCAGGCAUGCUACCCAGUUUCCCUGCCCGCGCGGUUACUACAACCCAGAGGCCAUGACCCAGAGCGUGGACAGCUGUCUGCCCUGCCCCCCCGGACACUACUGCGAGAAGGAGAGGCUCACCAAAGUCUCUGGGAAAUGCAAGGGGGGCUGGUUCUGCGUGUCCGCGGCGUGGAACUCGCAGCCCUUCGACCUGGACAACUACACCAACGCCAACUGCCUGUGCCCUGCCACCUCCACCGGGGGGCGCUGCCAGGAGGGCUUCUACUGCCCGUCCGGCAGCACUGAGCCUCUGCCCUGCCCGCCAGGGGCCUUCUGCAACGGCUCUGGCCUGGCGUUACCCCGGGGCCCCUGUGCCGCGGGGUUCUACUGUGUGGGU